rnacentral:lncRNA from 1 species
UGUUCUGUGAGUUUGGCCUGCUAGAAUUCAAACACUUGUACACUUCAUCCUCUCCCAUGGAUUCGAUAGUCUCUCCAUUUUCAAGAGUGAAGUCUCCUUUCUUUAGGAUUCCUUUUUCUAUGUGGAAUGUUUUGUAUUUGUCUAGACCAGGGGUCAGCAACCUCUGUGUGUUAUACCUCUGUCUGUUAUAUUCUUGACGACUUUAAAGUCGUCAAGAAUAUAACACACAGAGGUAACAAGAAAUACGCUUACAAGAGACCACCAACGAUAUACAAUACUCUAAGGAACGAUAAAGAUGCCAUACGUAAUAUAGACAAAGCAGGAGUUUAUAAGAUCCCCUUAGAAAACAUAGACUUGAAAAGAGAAGCAGCAUACAUCGGAGCGAUGGCUAGAAGCCAGAAAAAAGAAUAAAAGAACAUAAG